GACGAACGCUGGCGGCGUGCUUAACACAUGCAAGUCGAACGGAAAGGCCCUGCUUUUGUGUGGUUCUCGAGUGGCGAACGGGUGAGUAACACGUGAGUAACCUGCCCUUGACUUUGUGAUAACUUCAGGAAACUCGGGCUAAUACCCGAUAGGAGCUCCUGCUGCAUGGUGGGGGUUGGAAAGUUUCGGCGGUUGGGGAUGGACUCGCGGCUUAUCAGCUUGUUGGUGGGGUAGUGGCUUACCAAGGCUUUGACGGGUAGCCGGCCUGAGAGGGUGACCGGCCACAUUGGGACUGAGAUACGGCCCAGACUCCUACGGGAGGCAGCAGUGGGGAAUAUUGCACAAUGGGGGGAAGCCUGAUGCAGCAACGCCGCGUGCGGGAUGACGGCCUUCGGGUUGUAAACCGCUUUCGCCUGUGACGAAGCGUGAGUGACGGUAAUGGGUAAAGAAGCACCGGCUAACUACGUG
rnacentral:rRNA from 1 species